AAACCAGCACCUCAAGUGGUCAGGAUGAUUAUUGGGCCUAAAGCAUCCGUAGCCUGCUCUGUAAGUUUUCGGUUAAAUCUGUACGCUCAACGUACAGGCUGCCGGGAAUACUGCAGAGCUAGGGAGUGGGAGAGGUAGACGGUACUCGGGAGGAAGUGGUAAAAUGCUUUGAUCUCUCGAUGACCACCUGUGGCGAAGGCGGUAUACCAGAACACGUCCGACGGUGAGGGAUGAAAGCUGGGGGAGUAAACCGGAUUAGAAACCCGAGUAGUCC
rnacentral:rRNA from 1 species